GCCCUGAUGGUCUAGUGGUUAAGAUUUGGCACUCUCACUGCCUGGCCUGGGUUUGAUUCCUGGUCAGGGAA
rnacentral:tRNA from 1 species